AUCCUUUUGUAGUUCAAUAACUGUGAUGAUUGGGUGUUCACACGCCUGCGUGACAUGUGCCUCCCUCAAACCUUAUUAGGACAUUGACAUCACCACAUUACCCGUCUGAGU
ensembl:snoRNA